rnacentral:lncRNA from 1 species
GACCCUUUGGUGUAGGUACUAUUAUUCUUCUUCUAUUAGGGAGGAAGAAACUAAUACUCAGAAAAUUUGCAUCACAUGCUCAGUUUCACAUUAUUAGUAAAGUAUUCAAUCAAAUCCAGGCAGGCCUUUUCCAGCGCUUAAGUUAGUUCCUUCUCUCAUGGAGCUAAUACUCUUGAUCUGUGAAGUAAUCUGCAGUUUUACUGAGUGAUCCUCAGCCCUUUACUGUGUUAUUAUGUCUCAUUCUAAUGGAUAAUAAUUAAGGGGUUACAAAAGACUUUCUCAAAGAUGGAGUAAACAGACUUGUUCCUAAUUUGAGCAAGCCAAAGAUGGUAACAGAACUGGAAACCAAUAAAACAUUAUUACCAAAAUGUUGCAUCUAUUCCCAAUUAGAACUAAAGGAAGUAGAGUUAAUCUGCAGUUUAUGGUUUAUAUUCAAAAUGAGAGAGAGAAGAUCUUAGUUAUCAAUUUUUUUUUCCAAUACUGGUCUUAGAAAGUGACUUAUAUAUGUAUUUCAGUGAGCCAGGACUCAACUCUCUUGACUCAUAGCCAGGACUAUCUACACUUGAUCACACUUCAAGCUAAAGUCACAUUACAAAAUUUCUUAAGAUCUCUAUAUUCCCUAUACUCAAAUUGUAUAGGCUGUGAUUUGCAUAAACAUUCUGAAAUACAGAGUCUACCAGCCUUAAUAAGGGGGAAGGAAAUCAUUUCUCAAUCUUUCUCUCUCUCUCUCUCUCUCACACACACACACACACACAUGCACAAGCAUGUGCACAGCUGUUUAGAGUAUGCUGUCAGGCUCCUCUUCUACUCCUGUCAUCCAGAAAUAGCAGAGGGACCUUGGGUACCCUGACAGUUCUCUAAGAGGCAUGCUCAAGAGUAGAACUUGGCUGCCACACACAGUGAUUCAGCAAUUUACCAGUAGAAAAUACGACAGGGAGAGGAAGGAGAAUUUCUCAUCUGGGUUUGGAAGCAGAAGAGGAGGCAACAGAACACUAAAGGAAUGUUCCUCAAGCCAUGUUGCAGGAGGUAACACAUAUACAGCAUUGCUUCCUGAAAUUCAGACUCUGCCUCUCCAGACAAUAUCCAUUUUAUUAAAAUGAAAUAUCAACUCUUCCUAAAGUUGUCAGGUUAAAAAAGCAAAUCUUAAUGUGAACUCUAUCAAUCUUUCUAUGAAAUGAUUCAAUGUGGGUGUGAAAUGGCUCCAUGGAGAAAUGAAAGCUGCAACUCUUGAAACUUACCUGCUACCCUUCUGGCCCAGAGCCAGUUCAUCACUAAAUCUACACUGUGUUGUGUUUCUCUGUACUCCAGCCAGCCUCCUAUUUCAGACUUUGACACAAAUGACAGAGUGCUGAUAGUGAAGCCACAAAAUGUUAAGAUGAGGUCACUUGGAAAGGGGCGGAGGAAGAAAGUACAGGAUUUCUUGGUUAAGUAAGCAGAGACUCAGUUGCUGAAGAACCAAUAGGAAGAUUCCUUGCAGCCACUAUAUGACAAGCCACCGUCUUCACAAUCGCUAAAAUGACUUCUAGUCAUUUUAGAAGGACCACUUUUUGUCUUCUGGUAGGUAGGCAGUUGGGGAAUCUGCUUUACUGUUCACUCACUUAUUUCUUUAUCCAUCUGUCCCCAUACUAAUUAAUUCAAACAGACAUUUAAGAGCAAUUUUCACAGAGAACUUUACCCAGUGUUCUGUGAUAAUCUACAUGCGAAAAGAAUCUGAAAAAGAAUGGGUGUGUGUAUAACUGAAUCACUUUGUUGUAUAGCAGAAAUUAUCAGAACAUUGUAAAUCAACUAUACUUCAAUAAAACUUUUCUAAAAAGA